rnacentral:miRNA from 1 species
CUGGGUUGGCUAAAAAGUUUGUUUGGGUUUUUCUGUAACAUCUUACAGAAAAAUCCGAAUGACCUUUUUGGCCAGCCCAA